rnacentral:rRNA from 1 species
ACGGGAGGCAGCAGUGGGGAAUAUUGGACAAUGGGGGAAACCCUGAUCCAGCGACGCCGCGUGAGUGAAGAAGUAUUUCGGUAUGUAAAGCUCUAUCAGCAGGAAAGAAAAUGACGGUACCUGACUAAGAAGCCCCGGCUAACUACGUGCCAGCAGCCGCGGUAAUACGUAGGGGGCAAGCGUUAUCCGGAUUUACUGGGUGUAAAGGGAGCGCAGACGACUUUGCAAGUCUGAUGUGAAAGGCAGGGGCUCAACUCCUGGACUGCAUUGGAAACUGUAGGGCUAGAGUGUCGGAGAGGUAAGCGGAAUUCCUAGUGUAGCGGUGAAAUGCGUAGAUAUUAGGAGGAACACCAGUGGCGAAGGCGGCUUACUGGACUGUAACUGACGUUGAGGCUCGAAGGCGUGGGGAGCAAACAGGAUUAGAUACCCUGGUA